ACAUGACCUCAGCUUAGGCGGGGCUACCCAUUGAGUUUAAGCAUAUUAAUAAGCAUAGGAAAAGAAACUAACAAGGAUUCCCCUA
rnacentral:rRNA from 1 species